UAGUUGUCGGGUUUUAAUUAACUUGGUAACGCAGCUAACGCGUGAAGUAGACCGCCUGGGGAGUACGGUCGCAAGAUUAAAACUCAAAGGAAUUGACGGGGACCCGCACAAGCGGUGGAUGAUGUGGAUUAAUUCGAUGCAACGCGAAAAACCUUACCUACCCUUGACAUGUACGGAAGGCCGAAGAGAUUUGGCUGUGCUCGAAAGAGAACCGUAACACAGGUGCUGCAUGGCUGUCGUCAGCUCGUGUCGUGAGAUGUUGGGUUAAGUCCCGCAACGAGCGCAACCCUUGUCAUUAGUUGCUACAUUUAGUUGAGCACUCUAAUGAGACUGCCGGUGACAAACCGGAGGAAGGUGGGGAUGACGUCAAGUCCUCAUGGCCCUUAUGGGUAGGGCUUCACACGUCAUACAAUGGUACAUACAGAGGGCCGCCAACCCGCGAGGGGGAGCUAAUCCCAGAAAGUGUAUCGUAGUCCGGAUCGCAGUCUGCAACUCGACUGCGUGAAGUUGGAAUCGCUAGUAAUCGCGGAUCAGCAUGUCGCGGUGAAUACGUUCCCGGGUCUUGUACACACCGCCCGUCACACCAUGGGAGCGGGUUUUA
rnacentral:rRNA from 1 species